UACAUAUCAAUUUCCUUAUUU
rnacentral:piRNA from 1 species